UGGGGGAUAUUGCACAAUGGGCGCAAGCCUGAUGCAGCCAUGCCGCGUGUAUGAAGAAGGCCUUCGGGUUGUAAAGUACUUUCAGCGGGGAGGAAGGCGAUAAGGUUAAUAACCUUGUCGAUUGACGUUACCCGCAGAAGAAGCACCGGCUAACUCCGUGCCAGCAGCCGCGGUAAUACGGAGGGUGCAAGCGUUAAUCGGAAUUACUGGGCGUAAAGUGCACGCAGGCGGUCUGUCAAGUCGGAUGUGAAAUCCCCGGGCUCAACCUGGGAACUGCAUUCGAAACUGGCAGGCUAGAGUCUUGUAGAGGGGGGUAGAAUUCCAGGUGUAGCGGUGAAAUGCGUAGAGAUCUGGAGGAAUACCGGUGGCGAAGGCGGCCCCCUGGACAAAGACUGACGCUCAGGUGCGAAAGCGUGGGGAGCAAACA
rnacentral:rRNA from 1 species